GAAAGUAAAUAAGGGCACACGGAGGAUGCCUAGGCUCUCAGAGGCGAAGAAGGACGUGAUAAGCUGCGAUAAGCUGCGGGUAUCGGCACAUACGAAUAGAUCCGCAGAUUUCCGAAUGGGGAAACCUGGCAUACUGAAGGUAUGCCGCACAAGCGCAAACCUGCUGAACUGAAACAUCUAAGUAGGCAGAGGAGGAGAAAAUAACAAUGAUUUCCAGAGUAGUGGCGAGCGAAAUGGAAAGAGCCCAAACCUUUAAUGUUACGGCAUUAAGGGGGUUGUAGGACCACAACAUAGGGAUAGGGAUGAAGCAGAACGGGAUGGGAAACCCGGCCAUAGCGUGUGACAGCCACGUAUGCGUAAAGAACUAUUCCUUAGUGGGAUCCUGAGUACCGCGGGGUCGGAGACGCCCUGUGGGAAUCUGCCAGCACCAUCUGGUAAGGCUAAAUACUCCUGAGAGACCGAUAGUGGACCAGUACCGUGAGGGAAAGGUGAAAAGAACCGUGAAUAACGGAGUGAAAUAGAACCUGAAACCGUGUGCCUACAAGCGGUCGGAGUCCCAUUGGGAUGACGGCGUGCCUUUUGCAUAAUGAGCCUACGAGUUGCUCUUCCCUGGCAAGGUUAAGUCUUUAAGGGACGGAGCCGAAGCGAAAGCGAGUCUGAAUAGGGCGUAUAGUCAGGGGAGGCAGACGCGAAACCUUGUGAUCUACCCUUGGGCAGGUUGAAGGUGCGGUAACACGUACUGGAGGACCGAACCGAUAAACGUUGAAAAGUUUCCGGAUGACCUGAGGGUAGGGGUGAAAGGCUAAUCAAACUGGGAAAUAGCUCGUACUCCCCGAAAUGUUUUUAGGAACAGCGUGGCGGUUUAGUCUGUCAGAGGUAGAGCUACCGAUUGGGUGCGGGGGAGUCAAAUCCUACCAAAUCCAGACGAACUCCGAAUGCUGAAUAGAUAUACGCUGCAGUGAGGCGCGGGGUGCUAAGGUCACGCGCCGAGAGGGAAAGAACCCAGACCAUCGGCUAAGGUCCCCAAGUGUACGCUAAGUUGAACUAACGAGGUCCGAUUGCAUAGACAGCUAGGAUGUUGGCUUGGAAGCAGCCAUUCAUUUAAAGAGUGCGUAACAGCUCACUAGUCGAGCGAUCGGGCAUGGAUAAUAAACGGGCAUCAAGUGUACCACCGAAGCUGUGGGAUUGAAAUAUAUCGGUAGGGGAGCAUUCCAUGUGCGGCGAAGGUAUCUGGUAAUGGGUGCUGGAGCGCAUGGAAAAGCAAAUGUAGGCAUAAGUAACGAUAAGGCGGGAGAGAAACCCGCCCACCGAAAGGAUAAGGUUUCCUGAUCAACGCUAAUCGGAUCAGGGUUAGUCGGGUCCUAAGGAUAACCCGAACGGGGAUUCCGAUGGACAACUGGUUAAUAUUCCAGUACUUUUGUUAGCUGCGAUGGGGCGACGGAGUAGUGACACUGCCGCGAACUGACGGAAUAGUUCGUUGAAGAGCGUAGGUAUAGGGCCUGUAGGAAAAUCCGCAGGUCUUGCUGAAACUUGAUAGUACCGGGCGGCUUCGGCCAACUGGAUAGCGCAGGUAAUCAGACUUCCAAGAAAACCCCCUAAGCUUCAGGCUAACAGAACCCGUACCGCAAACCGACACAGGUAUCCGGGAAGAGAAUUCUAAGGUGCUCGAGUGAAUCAUGGCUAAGGAACUCGGCAAAAUGGCCCUGUAACUUCGGGAGAAGGGGCGCUGGAGCGAUCCAGCCGCAGUGAAAAGGCCCAGGCGACUGUUUAACAAAAACACAUGGCUUUGCAAAAUCGCAAGAUGAGGUAUAAGGCCUGACACCUGCCCGGUGCUGGAAGGUUAAGAGGGGAUGUCAUCGUAAGAGAAGCAUUGAAUCGAAGCCCCAGUAAACGGCGGCCGUAACUAUAACGGUCCUAAGGUAGCGAAAUUCCUUGUCGGGUAAGUUCCGACCUGCACGAAUGGUGUAACGAUCUGGGCGCUGU
rnacentral:rRNA from 1 species